UAUUAUCAUAUCAACUCUCUUCCAUCCCAAUCUUCAAUCGGCGAUACAAUCUUUAGAUCAUAUUCAGAUUUAGUUUUUGAAGGAUCAACAUUACAAACGCAAUAAUGUCUUUUUACAAGUCAAUGUCUGCACUUACCAGAGAUUUUUUGGUUAUACCUCUUCAGUUUUCAAAGAUAUGGUUAUCUUCUGCUGUUGGUGAUAAUAUGGUAGUCAUAAAGAGUAUCAACGAAAAGG